rnacentral:lncRNA from 1 species
CAUCAAAGGGCGCUUACUCCAGGCCCACAUCAGCAUCCUCGGUCAGCAGCGGGGUCUCCACCUCUCCACCACACUGCCGGCGACAGGGACGCUCACCACCCGUCUCACGACGACUUUUCUCCACCCCUUUUCCCGGCGUGGGGGGUGUGACCUAGUCUCCCAAGUGUUCGGGCUGCUACCUGGCUGGAGGAGCGGGGCGGGGAGGGGGCGGGCUGAGGGGGGGACCUGCAGCCCCUGCCCUUACAGGGCCAGGCAGAGAUUUGGGGAACCCAACAGGGCACAUCCCCUACAGGUCCCCAACCUCACGGUACAAUCUUUUGUAAAAGAGAAAAAGGAUAACCCAGCCCCUUAUUUAGCCUGCACUGCUUCUAAGUUCUCACCAUCUCAAUGAGGAAAUGGGUUGUUGAGUGACCGGAUCAGGCCAGGACUCAGCUCUGCCCUCUCUCCGCCGUAUGAAAUGCCCUCCAGCCUCUGCUUCCUGCCCUACUAAUCAGCAGCAGUCACCUAUCUGCAGAGGAGGAGCGGUGAGAGUGGAUGAGGCAGAGCCCCGGAUCCAGGAUGAACUGCCGAGUGCAGCCCGGGGAUGGAAGUCACGUCUGCUUCAUUAACUUCACAUGCUGGAAUCCAACAUUGGGCCGCUAUGUCCGUGCAUAGAAUACAGGAGUGGGCAGAUGAGCACCUAACCCAUGUGAUCCCUCCCCCACCCAAUGAGCAGAACAUAUCAGUGAGGGGGAGGACAGUGAAACCUGAAGUGGGCAAGACAAACACAAUGAACCUUGCUGCAAAAGCUGAAACGAUAGAUUCCAGAGACAUUUUGGAAUGAUGGAAUUGAAAAGAAACACAGUUGGUCACUGGGUCGAGGAUAAGAAAAGCACCGAACAGAGGCCAUCCCGAACAACUAGGCACCAGAAAAUGCUCUCUCAAUUUUAUUUCAUGGGAUUAUGUGAUUCUUAUGCAACUGUGGCAAUGUGAGGCAUCUCAAUGGCAUUAAAGUCUUGUUAAAACAGUAA